AUUUUCUUUUCUUUUUUUUUUCUUUUUACUUUUAUUCUUGAGCGUGUUAUGUAUGAGAACUGGCAUGUGAGUUGUGCUUGUGUGGAGGUCAGCGGAAAACUUUGAGCAGUUAUUUCUACUGGAGUGUUCCCAGAUUGAACUUAGGCUGUCAGGCUGUGCAGUGAUCUAAUUUCUUUUUUGUUGCUCUGAUAGACAGUUUGACCAAAAGCCAUUUAGGGGAAGAGAGUGUCGAUUUGGCUUACACCUUACUUAAGUCAGGGCUGACCCUGAAGCAGAAACCAUGGAGGAAUGCUGCUGACUGGCUUGCUCACUAGUUUUCGCUCAGCUACUUCUUUUGUACAGACCAAAGCUACCUGCUAAGGAAUGAUUCUGCCCACAGUGGGCUGGGUCUUCCCACAUCAAUCAUCAGUGAAGAGUUACUCACAGAUAACUGGCCAGUCUGAUCUCAACAGUUCUUCAGUUCUGGUCUCUUUCAGGUGACCCUUGGUUGUGUCAACACUAAAUAUAAAGACUGUUAAGGACAUGAGGCAGGUGUUUCAUCUGCUCAGCCUCUAACCAGCCCUCCACAGAAUUAAGACUUCUCACUGUCCUCUUUGGCAUAUGUUUUUGUUCCCACAGAUAUUCCUUCUCUGUGCCUGCCCUUGCCUGUGCACGGAUGGCCUAGGGCUCUCUUUCUCUUGCCUUAGUACUUCGAUGUGUUGGCUCCUGAGCUGCUGCAGAUAUCUUUUCUUGCCUUUUAACACUUAAUCUGACCCUGACCUCUAAGUCAUUGUUUUUGACCUUUUCUGUUCCAAAGACACUAUCUGCAUUAUGGUUGAGAGUAGAGAUAGCAUCCUGCCUUGUCCUAAGGUUUUCUUCAUGGACUGCCACUCUGCAUCAGCAGGCUUGGAUGGCAUAGUUAGAAUUUUAAUCCUCAGGAAUUCUCUUGUGAUUUGCCUGUCUCUGGAGUUGGUAAUAAGUUAGUAAGAUAUUGUUGUCCUGAGCUUCUCCCCAGUUCCAAACCCACCUUGUGGUGCUCUCUUGGCUUCCCCAAAACAUAUUUUACUCUGCUAUACCUUUUCUUGUGGCUCCAAAGACUUCUGUCAAUUUUCCUGGUAGAGAUCGGCCUUCUUGUCCAUACCUUGGAUAUAAACUUCAUUGACUGGAAGUCCGAGUCUUGCUGAGUGUCUUACUCUGCACCUUCACUUGGCUAAAGGUUGAAUGCUUAGCUAUACCUCUGUCCUCUGUCUCAUCAUGACUACCCUCUGUCCUGGGGUGUCACACUGCUACUGAUGCUGCUGUUUAUAAUGCUCUGCUACAUUGCAAGGCCCAUUUCUGCCACUUCUGUUAGGCAUUUUGUGGAGAACUUCUUUUUGUUUUGUUUUGUUUAGGGCCCUUGAUGAAAGCUGCUGUGUCCUCUUUCUCAUUCCUUGCCCUCAACCCCCCAGGCCAAUCCCUGACCCUUGAACAUUUGGUCUGCUUUGUCAUUCAGACUCUUGUAGCUACUGUGGACAUAACAGUUUUUAUAUCUUUUGAGAUACAGCCUUCCCAAAUGCCUAGUACUGUUCUCUUGCUUCUCUCUCAUAGGCCUGAACUUUGGCGUUUAGAUGACUUAAUGCAUGUUGGAGCGAGGGCCUAGGGUUCAGCUAGGUGAACCCUUCCUGUGUUCUUACUGGGACUGUAUUUGUGAACCUUUAUUUUCAUAACAACCCAGGCCUGGUCAGAUUGAUUCACUGUGGAAGAGCAUUGUGAUCUGCCAACCUUAAACACCAGUUACAUUCCUGAAGAUAGCUUGUCUCAGAUACAGUCAGAGGCAUCAGAAAGUGGAGUAGCAGCUGUGUCUGUUGGGCCUUGUUAGGCGGGGUUGACUUGCUUUGUGUCCCCAUUUGAUAGCCAGCGGCCAGGCUUCCGUCUCCUUUUGCACCGACCUUUUCUGGGGAAGGCUGAAGGAAUCACCAUUGUUAUGGCCCUCUCUGUAGGUGAGAAGUGUCCCUUGAGGGCCAAGACCACUGUGGUUUGAUCUGGCCGAGACAGAUCUUCCGUUGAACUUGCAUACAUCUUAGUGUGAGAUUUCUUGAUCCUCGUGGACAGGUGGACGGUGUACCUCUGUUAAACUGCACUGAGUCAGGCACAGGUUUUGGUGCUGCUUACAUGCGGCCCUGGUUCUCUGAGAAUCAUACGGAAAAUGAUGAUGGCACUGGAGCCAAGAGUAUUCCUGGAUCUUGUGUUCCUUGUGUGGUUGCUUUGCUGGGCAGAUAGCCACCCCAAUUGGUGAUUUUUAUUUUUUUGUAUUUUUUUAAGCAAAGCAACUAUUGAUGAGAUUUACCUGGCCCUACCACAGCACCUACCUGGAAUAGAUGGAGUAGAUGGCUAUAGGGCUUCUGGGUGUCAAUGGGUGAGUGUGCGUGUCAGCAUGGGUUGUAGCUUGUAACAAGGAGAAGCUAGGCCAGUGUCCUAGGUAAGACCCCGAGAAAUUGAGAGUACUUGUGGGAAAACUGGUGGGCAUCUUCCAUCCACUCUUACUUGAGAGGCACCUUAUCUGGCUCUCCUGAUACUUAACAGCCCUUUUCCAGUGCCCAUGAGUGUGUGCCUGUGUGCAUGUGUGUAUCUGUAGAACAUUACAGUGAAGUGAUAGCUAUGGGUAAGUAACAGGAAGGGCUCCUAACCUUAAACAUACAGAGACCGCUUUCUAGGUGCUGAAUGUAGGCGAAGGGCACAGAAGGUGCAAAGGAAGCAACUGUACUGACUCUGGUGGCUACAGAGAGGCGAGGUGUGGGUGGAAUCUGAUGGGUUGGGGCAUGCACAGAACUUCAGUGGUCUUUAGGUAUUUCGGGAAGCUAGAGGAAACAAAUCAGGAAAGCUCCUCUUGCUGGGUAAACCAUUCUUUUGCUCCUGCAAAGAGUUAUUUAAGGGUGCAAUUUAGGGCUGGUAGUUAGUGCUUUAUUUGUGUUUUUUCUUUUAAGUUUUGUGCUAUAUGUUGUGUUUUUAUGUUUGCGUACAUACUUGCAUGUGUAUACUCUGGUGCCUGCAGAGGUCUGAAGAGGGUACUAUAUUCCCUCAGAUAUAUUACAGAUAGUUAUGAAUCACAUUGUAGGUUCUGGGAAUCAAACCUGGGUCUUCUGCAAGAACAAAUGCUUUCAACCACCAAGCUGUCUUUCCAGCCCCUAAUUUGGUAUUUUAAUAUUUUACAUAUUUUCACUUUUUGGCAUUUAGUUAUAUGAGUUUGAUAUUUUGGGAUUUAUAAUUUUUAUUGACUUAAAUAGCUUUUGCAUUGAUUUUAAUUUUUGAGCAGGUUUUAGAAGGUUUAUAAGAAAACUGUGUAAAAAGAUGGAAGAUCCUGCCUUGGAUUUUCUUAGUACAUCGAAAACAGCGUUGUUACAAAUUGAACCUAGUAGCCUGUUCCUUAGGUCCCAGUUCCAGAAUCUGAGGCAGGAGGAUCAUGGGUUUAUGAUAUAUCUGCUGAUGCUUGGUCAUAAUUUGUCUGUUUUAGUUUAGGGACCCUGGUGUCAGACAUUUACAAGGUUGGACAGUGAAGUAUUUUCCUCCUCCCUACCACUGCAGUCUUUUUUUUUUUUUGGUUUUUCGAGACAGGGUUUCUCUGUGUAGCCCUGUCCUGGAACUCACUCUGUAGACCAGGUUGGCUUCGAACUCAGAAAUCCGCCUGCCUCUGCCUCCCGAGUGCUAGGAUUAAAGGCAUGCACCACCACGCCCAGCUACCACUGCAGUCUUAUUCAAAGUACUUUCUCUGUCCUGAAAAUCCCCUGUCUGCUGUCUGUCUCUUCCUCUCCUGGUCCCUGGAAAUCUCCAAUCCUUUACUGUUUCAGAGGCCUGCUUUCCUCCAAGCAGUCAACCUGUACACAGCCUGUUUAGAUUGGCCUCUACCAUUCACAGCUCUGUGAAUUUAACGACGUGAUGGUAGAACACGUCUAGCCCAUGGCCAGCCAUAGGUCACCAUAGUGCUACUCUAUAUGCCUUCCUUUGGUCAGUCAUUUGGAACCAUCACUAACCUAUGAGGUUGGCCUCUUUCUUUGAGAAGUGUGCACUGGAGACUCUCAGGUUCCAUCCACCUCUGCCUCCCAAGUGCAGGGAUGAAAGGCAUACACCACUACUGCCUGGCUAUGAGUAUUGGUUUUCAUUUUACCUGGGCAUCCCCUAAGAGGAGAUAUGGACAUGUGUCUGUCUUUACAAGAAACUGUCUUACAGAACCUAGCCCAGGCCCUCCCGUGUUCUCAAGGACUUCAAAGGUGUCCGACUUGGUAUGCAAUUGUUUUGAGUUGCACUUCCCUGAUGAACAAUGACAUUGAACAUGUUUUGUUGUUGUUAAGUCAGGUUGUCUGUCUGUCUGUCUCUCUCUGUAUUUAAAACUCAUUUCCUUGAGCUUUUUUUUGAAGGAAAUUGUUGAGAAAAUGGCUCGUCCAUGCUUUAUUACCUGCUCUUUAGAAUAAUCUUUCUGGUUCCCCGCUGUGUCGCUUCGUCACUGUUUGCCUGGAUUAAGGCAGUUCAGUAAUUUUGAGUUACUAGAAUGUGUGCUUGCUUAGAGACUUACUCCCUUCAGAUGGAAAGUGGAUAAGGAGUGGCAGCCAGUCUGGGCUCUUCCUGCCCCUUUAAUAAGGCUUCCUUAUUCUUAGCUUUGCACUUUAGUGUCUUGCAUACAGAGGUGGUUGGUUCUUGAGUGGGUGAGUGCAUGAGGACAGUUGAGUGGGUAGAAGACUGGCUGGCUGAGUGAUGGGUAGAUGUGCACAUAGAUGAAUGAAUGAAUGAAUGAAUGGGCAGGUGUGUGGAUGGUGCCCGAAAGUGCCAGUAGGCAGUAGAUGGGGGAGUGACUGGCAGAUGAGUCAGCAGGCACAGUUAUGGGUGAGCAGCAUGGGUUAGGUAUGGCUGGGUAGAAAAGGAGAUGCGGAUCCCUAAAUAGAUGUCAGGAGGAGAAUGAGUAGAUGGAGUGCGGCUGCCGUAACGUGGGUUACUGAACUUCCUGUGUUGUAUGAUCGUGUCCACCUCUCAUGGCUCUUUACUGUUGGAGCUGUCAUGAGCAUUUGCUGAAAGCUGUGACUGUGCAAGGUUCUGAGACAUCAUAAUGCUAAAAUUCAAGGCAUAGUCCUUUUCAGGAUAGUGGGCGUGGCUUUGCUCUUAGGAGGUGUGUGCAUGGUUCUUCUCUCCUGAUGUUAGCCCUCUGCCCGUUGGCUUCUAUUUUGCAUGUAUCCAUUUGAGUUGCUCUUUAGUCAAGCACUGUUGUGUGAGCAGAGCCUUUCCUGUGCUCAUUCUGCUCAAAGCUGGAGUUCAGAUUCUUAGCUCCAGAUUUAAGCAGCAUUAUUUUAGAACAUUUUAAAACUUCCUAAAUUAGAUGUAGAAUAAAUACAUUCUGAAAGAAUGUUUUUUUCAGAUAGUAUAAACAUGUAAAAUCACCAGCUCCCUCCUCUCAAUUAACCACCCCCCUUAGGAAAUUUACAUGAAUAAGUAUUUACAUACAAAUGGGAAUUUGUACUAGUAUGAAUAUAUAAUUUCUUCCACAUCUUUAGAAUCACCUCAUGUAUAGGCUUCCAUUUUUGGUCACCUUUCCUGUAUAAUUCUUAGAAAUUAAAUAGUAAGAAUAGAAGCUGUUCUCAUAACUAACGUGCUCACAGCUGAUAGCUGAUGGUAGAUCAGUCC
rnacentral:lncRNA from 1 species